rnacentral:rRNA from 1 species
AUUGAACGCUGGCGGCAUGCUUUACACAUGCAAGUCGAACGGCAGCGCGGGCUUCGGCCUGGCGGCGAGUGGCGAACGGGUGAGUAAUACAUCGGAACGUGCCCAGUAGUGGGGGAUAGCUCGGCGAAAGCCGGAUUAAUACCGCAUACGACCUGAGGGUGAAAGCGGGGGAUCUUCGGACCUCGCGCUAUUGGAGCGGCCGAUGGCAGAUUAGCUAGUUGGUGGGGUAAAGGCCUACCAAGGCGACGAUCUGCAGCUGGUCUGAGAGGACGACCAGCCACACUGGGACUGAGACACGGCCCAGACUCCUACGGGAGGCAGCAGUGGGGAAUUUUGGACAAUGGGCGAAAGCCUGAUCCAGCAAUGCCGCGUGUGUGAUGAAGGCCUUCGGGUUGUAAAGCACUUUUGGCGGGAACGAAAAGGACUGUGCCAAUACCAUGGUUCGAUGACGGUACCCGCAGAAUAAGCACCGGCUAACUACGUG